UGCAAGCGUUAAUCGGAAUUACUGGGCGUAAAGCGUGCGCAGGCGGCUUUGCAAGACAGAUGUGAAAUCCCCGGGCUUAACCUGGGAACUGCAUUUGUGACUGCAUGGCUGGAGUGCGGCAGAGGGGGAUGGAAUUCCGCGUGUAGCAGUGAAAUGCGUAGAUAUGCGGAGGAACACCGAUGGCGAAGGCAAUCCCCUGGGCCUGCACUGACGCUCAUGCACGAAAGCGUGGGGAGCAAACAGGAUUAGAUACCCUGGUAGUCCACGCCCUAAACGAUGUCAACUGGUUGUUGGACGGCUUGCUGUUCAGUAACGAAGCUAACGCGUGAAGUUGACCGCCUGGGGAGUACGGCCGCAAGGUUG
rnacentral:rRNA from 1 species